UAGGGAACAAGCUAACCCCGCUGUACUCAGAAGAACGGGUACAAGCGGACCUUGGAACGGCAGUUCUAAUUAAGGGGAGGGUGGUCCAUAAGGACAAUCUGAAAUAAUUCAAACUUUUGUUUUACAGAUUUAAGGUAUUAUUCCCGCAGGUUUGACGGAAUACUCUUCCUUCCUCGUUAAAAUGUUGGAGUUGUUCCCACAUUCAGAUAUAGAACAUAAAAAAAUCCGUUGUCCGCUUUAACGAUACAUGGCCAGAAGCCUAGACUUCCUGAUAACAGCAUUAAAGGUCGUAGCAAGUACCCCCGACGAGUUGGGCUUCGAAAAAAUAGCAGCUUGUAGAAUCAAACAAUAGACUGAUUAACUGAGUACUGAUUAACACAGAGGCACAUAAACAGGAUGCUAAUUUCGGUAGUCCAAAUCUCAUGAUUACGAUCACACUUGCCAAAGCGAAUAUCCCAAUAAGACCUAAAAUCUAUUUUUACCGAACAGCUCACAGAGGUCCCAGUAGCUUAUUUGUUGGGAGUAUGUAAGAAUAUAAGAAUUUUUCAUUUCAUAUUUAAGUAGAAUACUCCCAGGUUAAAAUUAUCUUUAUGUCGCGAAGUACACGCCGGCGGCUCUGUUUCAUGACGCAUGCAACCCAGCCACCUGGCCACCACCAUCCUGUUGCAUCAAUGCUGUAGUAGUGGACGAUGGCAUAAUCAUCAUAAAUGGGCAGCGAGCAACGGUCAGCGUUGACAAUGGACCCCUAAGGACGACAAGAGAGGCCCACCUCAUCACGUUCGANUGAAAUAAUUCAAACUUUUGUUUUACAGAUUUAAGGUAUCAUUCCCGCAGGUUUGACGGAAUACUCUUCCUACUCCCUUCUACUACAACUGCGCGGAUCACCGCCUUUUAUACCGUUAAAAUGUUUGAGUUGUUCCCACAUUCAGAUAUAGAACAUAAAAAAAUCCGUUGUCCGCUUUAAUGAUACAUGGCCAGAAGCCUAGACUUCCUGAUAACAGCAUUAAAGGUCGUAGCAAGUACCCCCGACGAGUUGGGCUUCGAAAAAAUAGCAGCUUGUAGAAUCAUAGACUGAUUAACUGAGUACUGAUUAACACAGAGGCACAGAAACAGGAUGCUAAUUUCGGUAGUCCAAAUCUCAUGAUUACGAUCACACUUGCCAAAGCGAAUAUCCCACUAAGACCUAAAAUCUAUUUUUACCGAACAGCUCACAGAGGUCCCAGUAGCUUAUUUGUUGGGAGUAUGUAAGAAUAUAAGAAUUUUUCAUUUCAUAUUUAAGUAGAAUGCUCCCAGGUUAAAAUUAUCUUUAUGUCGCGAAGUACACGCCGGCGGCUCUGCUUCAUGACGCACGCAACCCAGCCACCUGGCCACCACCAUCCUGUUGCAUCAAUGCUGUAGUAGUGGACGAUGGCAUAAUCAUCAUAAAUGGGCAGCGAGCAACGGUCAGCGUUGACAAUGGACCCCUAAGGACGACAAGAGAGGCCCACCUCAUCACGUUCGAAGACAGAACCGUGAUCAACAGCACCCUGUUCUUAAACCUCAACAAAGCAUUGAGGAAAGUUCCAGGAAUCGUAGCUUCGCCUUUGCUGUCAAUAACGGGGCACGGUGAAAUCCUAAGCCUACCACGACUACAAUCGAUGAACGAGCACAAUCUAAGGGCCAUCCAAGAACUUAGAAGCGACAUGACAUCCGGUGGGUCACCCAAGACCUGGUUCAUUGCGGACAGCCUCAAGCUCUGUGGCCUUAUCCUGUUGCAUCAAUGCUGGAUUCGAAGCAACUCCUCAAUCAAGUUGCAAAAGGUCAUCAGAGAGAUAGGUAUCGCCGAGGACGGAGAUGAUUUAAGGGGGGAGUAGUUAACACAUAAGCAAUAACAUGGGACACCCUAACUUAGCGCACAAGAAAUGUGAAAUAUCAUGUGCCGCCCUAACUUAUCCAGUCCGAUACGGAGGGCGCCGAUGCAGUAGAUGCCGUUGCAGCGGGCGGCUCUGUUAUCUGAUUGGGCGCCAGCGAUCGCAUGAUCUUGUUUAUGCGUAGGCGGCUCUUAUCUCUUGUGAGCGCGGACGGCUCGCCGGCUAUGUUUCGGUGUAGGUUUAGAAGUAAGCUUUAGUUUAGAAUUGGACGAAUAAAUGAACGGAGCGUUCACAUAAACUCCGACACGAGUCGUAAAACGUGCAUUGAUAUAAUCAUAUUGUUGAGCCUUAAGGGCCAACGAAAUAGAGGGCAAUUACCCUCUCAACAUAAUCUUCGGUAGAAGACUCAGUUGCCAACCGCAACCACCGUCCCCCGCUACAAGAGCGGGCCACGGGAACCCGAUCGCUGCCGUCGGAGCCAACGCAACGCAUACCGCAGCUCGGACCAAAAACGACAUAAAGUUAAUUUACAUGUGCGUGCGCUUCUAUGCACUAUGAGAGGGAGCGAUGAGCGCGACAAUAGAAAAUUAGUAUAAGAGAUUAUAAAGAGAGUAUGAACAUAAACAAGGAGAGCUGAUCCUAAUAAUCAUAAAGCAACUAUAUAAGGAGUUCUGGUCGGAAAAGAUUAUGGAAAAGUGCGAGUGAAAAGUGCGAGUGAAAGGGCUCUCGCUGUAAUCAUUUAAAAGCAAUGAUAGUAGUCAGUGUUUUGAAAGAAUAAACAUUUUGAAAAAUUUUGAAAAAAAAAUUCGCCCGCAACCAACUUUCCGCGUCGACAUGCAAACGAGCACUGAGAAUUAGGAAAAGCAGCGAGUAACUCUGCCACCGACGAGGCCUCCUUAUAUAGUUGCUUUAUGUUAAUAAUUAUGUUUUUGCUGCUGCUCCGAACAAGACGUUUGAACAAGACAUUUUUAUUACCGGUACUCGAAGAGUAAAUAGAGUAAAUUGUAUUUGUGCGAAUAACGGUUGUAUGUAACGCACAGAAGGAAGCGUUUCCGACCCCAUAAAGUAUAUAUAUUCUUGAUAGAGCCAUGUCUGUCUGUCCGUGUUGUUUGUCGGCUAGUUCUCAGAGACUAAAAGAGUUAGAGCCCCCAAAUUUUGGUUCCAGACUGCUCUAUGCUCACAGUGUAAACCAGUGUUUUCUUUUUAUACCCGGUACUUAAAGAGUAAAUAGGGUAUAUUGUAUUUGUGCGAAUAAC
rnacentral:lncRNA from 1 species